UAUUGUGAGCCCUGCUGAGCGCACAAAACCUAGGAAGCCGAAAUGAUGCCACCCUAGAUUCUGUUUGGAAGGUGAAGAAAAUGAUGGGAAGUGUGGCUGUCCCGAGCCACACAGCCAGCCGUGGCCCAGGGACUCACACAGCCCCGUCCAAGCCUGCUUUAAUUUUCAAGCCAAGCUGCUUGGCUCUUGCAGUCCAUCUUCCCCAGGAUCUGGAGAGCUCGCUGCUUAGUAGUUCAAUACAAUGACUCUGCACCUUGAAAGCCCUUACUAAAAAUCAGGUCUUUUCCAGGUUAAGGGCAAGGGAGAUGACCACAGUGCCCAUAGGCACCACACAGGUAGUCCAGGAGCGGCCACCAAGGGCCUUUCGGACCUCAAAGCGCCGGCUCUCCACCACCCCGGCGGCAGCGCUGCUCUGCGGCACGCAGUGGGAGCUGCCAGGCCUCCCGGGCUGGGAUGGCACCCCUGCCUGAGCAGCUUCGGGGUCCCCUGGACCUGCUCCGCGGCUGGCUCAGGGAGCACAGCUGCCCUCGCCGGGCCACUUCUGGAACAAGUUGGAGAGGUCCGCGCGGGGGGACCCACCACCCGGGGCUGCAGCGCGCGCGGGGGUCCCCGGCUCGCAGCCGCCACGGACUCUGCGGCCGAAGUUGACCUCGCCGAGGAAAGAUGACACAGCAGUCCAGCCCCAGGCUCCUAGGAGCGGACAGCACCUCUGGAAGAUGCUGCUCACCACCAAACCAGGGCAGAGCCGUGAUGUAAAGCCAGGAAUGACCGUCCUCCUUCACCUGGCAGGGGACACAAAGCCCGUGGAGUCUGAAUCUCAACAGAGCAAAAGACCCCACAGAUCCUGUCCUGGCUGGUUCUACGCCAACCUGACACAAGCUAGAGUCAUCCAUCUGAGAGGAGGGGAACUCCAUUGAUCCAGCUGGAGGGUCACUGCUGAUGAAGAGUUACCACACCGCUUCAAGACUUUCCAAGUAUCUCUCUGGCUGUGAAUGAAAGAAUGCCUUGAAAGCUGGCCGUGGUGGCAGCAUACACCUUUAAACCCAGCACUUGGGAGGCGGAGGCAGGUGGAUCUCUGUGAGUUCGAGGCCAGCUUGGUCUACAGAGAGUGACGCUAAGUUCUCUGGGUCUGGAGCACGAGCGCUCAGAAGAAGGAACGUUGAAUUGCUGGGUGAGAGUAUUUUUGGUGCUAAGACCUGUGUCCGAGCCUCUGUCUUCAGGAUGCCCAAGAGCCUGGACUCAAAGAUGGAAGAGCAGUUGCCAUGAGAAGCAGAAAGGGCCCUGCAGAAGAUGGACCUGGGUCAUUCAGUCCCAUGCCUGCUGUUGCUGUUCUACUAGGCACAAGGCUAAGCCCAACCCAGAGUGCUGGGUCCCAAGGACUAAGUUGAACAGCAGGAGUCAUGAUACUGGAAUACUGGCCGGUAGGUCAUGUUAUAUAUAAGGUGUGUGUUGUUGGAGAACGUGGCCCUCUGAAUAAAACAGAUGUUGCCAUCAUCAGAUCAAGCAUACGGGCUCUCAGGCCAUCAGAAGCAGCCUGUGGACUGUCAACAUUCCCUCAGAGGAGGAGUCACUGGGCUCUCACCUGAGACUCCCUUCUAUAUGGCACUGCUGUCCCAAGGCAAAACUUGCCACUCAGGAAAUGUGCCCUGGUGCCCUAUAAGAGAAAAAUGGGGGAGACCCACUAAGCAGAAAGGAAGACAAGG